rnacentral:rRNA from 1 species
AUGCUUGUGCCAGUUUGGCUAUUGCAAGGACUGUUUAGCAGAUUCAAUGCUUUGCCACAAAAUCUGGUUUUGGUCGGUUCACUGCCACGGGAAACUCUUGCAUACGAAAUCAUGCAAUUUGGAAUAUGCGUUGAGCCCAACAAUCAAGCAUUGCACAUGUCUUGCCGACCUUCUUGGUCGAGCUGGGAGCCUAUAGUUGAUGCCGAGGCUUUUACAAGGGAUUCAAUCUUCCAUGGUGAACCUGUCAUCUGGCGGCCUUUGCUAGCGUCAUGUCGUAUCCAUCGGGACAUGGAGAGAGGUCAACUUGUUGCAGACAGGAGGAUAAUGGACCUAUAA